rnacentral:rRNA from 1 species
UACGGGGGGGGCAAGCGUUGUUCGGAAUUACUGGGCGUAAAGGGCUCGUAGGCGGCCAACUAAGUCAAACGUGAAAUCCCUCGGCUUAACCGGGGAACUGCGCUUGAUACUGGAUGGCUUGAGAUUGGGAGAGGGAUGCGGAAUUCCAGGUGUAGCGGUGAAAUGCGUAGAUAUCUGGAGGAACACCGGUGGCGAAGGCGGCAUCCUGGACCGGCAUUGACGCUGAGGCGCGAAAGCCAGGGGAGCAAAGCGGG